GACGAACGCUGGCGGCGUGCCUAAUACAUGCAAGUAGAACGCACAGUUUAUACCGUAGCUUGCUACACCAUAGACUGUGAGUUGCGAACGGGUGAGUAACGCGUAGGUAACCUUUCUGGUAGCGGGAGAUAACUAUUGGUAACGAUAGCUAAUACCUCAUAAUAUUGAUUAUUGCAUGAUAAUUGAUUGAAAGUUGCUAUGGCAUCACUACCAGAUGGAUCUGCGUUGGAUUAGGUAGUAGGCGAGGUAACGGCGAAACUAGGCGGCGAUACAUAGCCGACUGGCGAGGGUGAGCGGCCAACCUGGGACGGAGAGAGGGCACAGACUCCUUCGGGAGGCAGCAGUAGGGAAUCGUCGGGGAGGGAGGAAAGUCUGACCGAGCAACGCCGCGGGAGUGAGGAAGGUUGUCGGGUCGUGAAGGUCUGUUGUAAGAGAAGAAAGGGUGUGAGAGUGAAAAGUUCACACUGUGACGGUACCUUAACAGAAAGGGACGGCUAACUACGUG
rnacentral:rRNA from 1 species